GCCCCCGGAGAGCUACCCCGCUGCCUGGGGAGCCGGGAGUGUGAACAGGGGGCAGCACGUGGGCCGCACGCAGGGCCUGGCGGCCAGGGAGCGCCCGGUGUGACCAUCUCCCCCACUGUGGCCCGAGGAUCCCUCCCCCCAGGCCGUGUGGGCCUCUGGCCAACUGCACAGCUUCCGGAUUCCCACAACGAUCCUGGCGGACGCCUCUCAGCACCUGACACGGCCUCGCGUGGCGCGGUCCCUCGGCGGCCUGGCACGUCCCCGCCCAAGGCGGCACUGGGCGCUGGCAGGGCCCCGAGCUUCCACGUGUCUGGAAGGCAGCCAGGAUGAUGUUGCCGUGGAGCCAUCCACAAACUGCGGGGCCAAGUGUAUUAAUCUAACGUGUCAGCCGCUGAUGCUAACAUAGAGCAGAGCUGUCCUGCUCCUCCAUCUACCCCUGGAGCCUCUGAGGACUUGGGGCCGGGCUGCUUGUCUGCAACGGAAGAUGGAUUUGUUGGAUACACAUGCACGUUCACCCAAUCUCGCUUCUGACCAGUGAUUACUCCUGAAAACGCACUGGGUUUCCAAGGUCCCACACGGGAGGGGAGCGAGCACGAGGGACAGCGCAUCACUUCCACCCUACAGGAUCCUGAAUGUCAAAUCCUUCCGAAAGCAGUUCCGUUACAAUACUGCAGAAGACUUCACAAUCGAUCAAUGUCCUUAGAACUAGAUUCUAAACAUGAGAGUUUUGGAACACAUUCACAACGAUGACCAGCAUAGCAGAACAACAGCCCUUUCUCUCAGGAGGACUGACAUGGAAGCCCAGCAAGUCCCACCAUCUGGGUUACCUCAGUCCAAGCAAAGGCCAGGGAAGGUGGGGGGAGAUGGGUGAUCAGAAAAGAAUGAUUGCUGGCGAGGGUGGCGCUGGCACAUGCAUCAACACUACACAUGGGGGUUCCAGGAAGGGAGUCUGUCAUAAAGUGGCCAAGAGCCCUUCUCCAAGGAACCCAGGACAACAUACAAAAUCUUUCUUCUGGACGCCAAGUGUUUACCUCAUGCUCUUCAGAAAUUCUCAUUCACCUUCACGAAGGAUAUGUCAGUCGGGGGCGGGAAGGGCACCUGGGUGGCUCAGUCGGUCAGGUGUCCAACUCUUGAUUUCAGUUCAGGAU